rnacentral:rRNA from 1 species
GAUGAACGCUGGCGGCGUGCCUAAUACAUGCAAGUCGAGCGAACAGACGAGGAGCUUGCUCCUCUGACGUUAGCGGCGGACGGGUGAGUAACACGUGGAUAACCUACCUAUAAGACUGGGAUAACUUCGGGAAACCGGAGCUAAUACCGGAUAAUAUAUUGAACCGCAUGGUUCAAUAGUGAAAGACGGUUUUGCUGUCACUUAUAGAUGGAUCCGCGCCGCAUUAGCUAGUUGGUAAGGUAACGGCUUACCAAGGCAACGAUGCGUAGCCGACCUGAGAGGGUGGUCGGCCACCCUGGAACUGAGACACGGUCCAGACUCCUACGGGAGGAAGCAGUAGGGAAUCUUCCGCAAUGGGGGAAAGCCUGACGGAGCAACGCCGCGUGAGUGAUGAAGGUCUUCGGAUCGUAAAACUCUGUUAUUAGUGAAGAACAAAUGUGUAAGUAACUAUGCACGUCUUGACGGUACCUAAUCAGAAAGCCACGGCUAACUACGUG